ACGGCGAGUGAAGAGGAAAGAGCUCAAAGUUGGAAACUGUUUGGCUUAGCUAAACCGUAUUGUAAACUGUAGAAACAUUUUCCUGGCACACCAGAUUAAUAAGUCCUUUGGAACAAGGCAUCAUGGAGGGUGAGAAUCCCGUCUUUGAUCUGAGUAGUUGUCUUUUGUGAUAUGUUUUCAAAGAGUCAGGUUGUUUGGGAAUGCAGCCUAAAUUGGGUGGUAAAUCUCACCUAAAGCUAAAUAUUUGCGAGAGACCGAUAGCGAACAAGUACCGUGAGGGAAAGAUGAAAAGAACUUUGAAAAGAGAGUUAAACAGUAUGUGAAAUUGUUAAAAGGGAACCGUUUGGAGCCAGACUGGUUUGACUGUAAUCAACCUAGAAUUCGUUUUGGGUGCACUUGCAGUCUAUACCUGCCAACAACAGUUUGAUUUGGAGGAAAAAAUUAGUAGGAAUGUGGCCUUUCGAGGUGUUAUAGCCUACUAUCAUACUCUGGAUUGGACUGAGGAACGCAGCGAAUGCCAUUAGGCGAGAUUGCUGGGUGCUUUCGCUAAUAAAUGUUAGAAUUUCUGCUUCGGGUGGUGCUAAUGUUUAAAGGAGGAACACAUCUAGUAUAUUUUUUAUUCGCUUAGGUUGUUGGCUUAAUGACUCUAAAUGAC
rnacentral:rRNA from 1 species